rnacentral:rRNA from 1 species
GAUGAACGCUAGCUACAGGCUUAACACAUGCAAGUCGAGGGGAAACGACAUCGAAAGCUUGCUUUUGAUGGGCGUCGACCGGCGCACGGGUGAGUAACGCGUAUCCAACCUGCCCACCACUUGGGGAUAACCUUGCGAAAGUAAGACUAAUACCCAAUGAUAUCUCUAGAAGACAUCUGAAAGAGAUUAAAGAUUUAUCGGUGAUGGAUGGGGAUGCGUCUGAUUAGCUUGUUGGCGGGGUAACGGCCCACCAAGGCGACGAUCAGUAGGGGUUCUGAGAGGAAGGUCCCCCACAUUGGAACUGAGACACGGUCCAAAACUCCUACGGGAGGCAGCAGUGAGGAAUAUUGGUCAAAUGGGCGAGAGCCUGAACCAGCCAAGUAGCGUGCAGGAUGACGGCCCUAUGGGUUGUAAACUGCUUUUAUAAGGGAAUAAAGUUAGUCUCGUGAGACUUUUUGCAUGUACCUUAUGAAUAAGGACCGGCUAAUUCCGUG